UUCGUGUGAUUGGUGGCCUGCGGUUACCUGUCACAUGGAGGAUGACACUGGAAGAGAGAGUGCCGCUAGAGUUUUGAGCCCGAGCCACAUACAAGCCUGCGUCUGCCUCGUAUACCUUCGGAAUGAACACCGAAUGCUUUGUCUCCUUGUGUGAAACCUCAACUGGUGGUGGGAGAACAGAUUCCUGGGCCUCCCCUGAACAGUUGGUCCCCAGCUGCGUCCUGUGGCUGCAGAUGUGAAGGCUGAGGGAGGAGCUGGAAGGCUCCUCCACCUCCAUGUCACAUGGUGCGACGGGGGACUCUGGGCUUCCCGGAAGUGGAGGCAGGGAGAUGUCAUCAGGUUCCAAUUACGGUGAAACCCAGCUUCAGAGAGACAACUUGAGAAAACCCAGUCAGUUAAAGCCUAGGGGGCUGGCACAAGGAUUAUGCAAUUUGAAACCAUUUGCCUUCUAACCUGGGAACAGUCCCGUUCCAUGACUAAGGAAUCAUUAAGCUGACUUCAAGUCUCUGAGUGAAAUAUGAUAGACCUUGUGAAAUAGAAGAGAAAAAGCCGUCAUCGUCAUCUGUAAUGGAGAGGUCAGACUAGAUCGAUGUCUUUCAAACCACCAUCUGAGGAAUCUCCUCAGCCAGCAAAUUCUGCUUUGGUCUGGUUUAUUUGUCUACCCUCCAUUGCAACACAUAUUUCCUAAACAUCGGAGACCCCUGAAUUAGGUGAUCCCUCGAACCCUCCCAGGAUAACCACUCUUCGCUCUCAAGAAAGCCAUUUUUAAAAAAUUGUGAUAAGAUACACAUAACAUAAAAUUUACCAUUUUAACCAGUUUUAAAUAUGCAACUCAGUGGUAUUAAGUGCAUUCCCAUUAUUAUGCAACCACCACCACUACCCACCUCCAAACUUUUCAUCCUCCAAAACUGAAACUUUGCCUCAUUAAACAAUAACUUCUCAUUCUCUCUCUGACCAGUCCCCGGCAACCACCAUCCUAUUUUCUGUCUCUAUGAAUUUAACUACUCCAGAUACCUUAUAUUGAGAAAGCCAUUCUUAGUGACUGCUUUUAUUUUCCUAAAGCCCCUUAGUUUUAUUCUUACAUUGAAGAAAUAUUUAUUGAUCACCUACCAUAUACAAGGGUACUUCAAAAAGUUUAUGGAAAGAAUAGGAUUAAAAGAUAAUGUGAAUCUCCAUGAACUUUUUGAAGUACCCUCAUACUAGGUGCCAUGCUUGGCAUUAGAGGAACACUAUGUUGAGUAAAAGUAGAUACAGCUUCUGUGCUCGUGGAGAUGAUAGCCUAGAGGGGUAGGUAAUGUUAAUGGAACAAUCACAUGUUAUGGCCUUUAACAAGAGAGCACACCAAGAUACUGUGGAGGAAUGCCCGCCACUUAUCUCUCGGUCCCAUGUGGAGUGCAGGUCUGGCUAGCAGCAGGGAAUAGCAGGACUUCUUCUGUUUACACUGUCCUCAUCUUCCUCCUCACUAAUUCAUGUCCAUCUCUGGUUUAGGAAGAGGCUCAAAUGUCCCUUUUGGCAUCGAGUCAAAAGAACAUUGAAGCUGAAAGUGUUCUCGUCUACCCCAACUGGCUUGUUUUAUACCUACUUUCUGUGCCCUUCCUCAGCAUUUUGGAUGCAUUUUUACUUAAUUAGCAAGUGCUGGUUUUUGUUCUGUGGCUACUGCAUGCACAUGAGAGAGUCAUGUCUUGCCUUGACUGUGAGUUCAUUUUAGCCCAUGGUCCUGCUGUUGACACACACAUUAUAAGUGAUUUUUGAGAAACUAAAAGUGCUUUCAGGUUGGAAAGUAGAAGCAAAGCAAUAUUCUUUUUACUGCAGAGAUGGCCUCGCCUCAGGGAAAGCAUAAACCCAGCUUAGAGAAAGUGGUCUCCUUCAGCCAACUAGUAGAAGUUUAAAUUCUGAGUUUAAAAUGCAGUAGUUUUUAAAAGUCCCUCUGAUGAAAAGAAAAAAAAAAAAAAGACUAAAUAAACAUGUCCAGUAGGGAAUGCUCCUCUUUCUUUUAGUUUAGCUCAGCUUCUCUCUCUUCUUGAAAACAGAAUGUUUAUUUUCCUUCUCAUAGGAACUUUGAGCCUAUUCAGUUUAAGAAUCUCCUCCAUGACAUUCUGGCAGCCUCUAUUUGGACACUUUUCCUAAAAGGGUGCUUUCUUUGAGAAUUUUAUGUUUUAA